rnacentral:rRNA from 1 species
AUGAACGCUAGCGGCAGGCUUAAUACAUGCAAGUUGAGGGGCAGCAUGAUAUACGCGAGUAUAUUGAUGGCGACCGGCGGACGGGUGAGUAAUAGGUAGGAGACCUACCUCAUACAGGGGGAUAGCAUAGAGAAAUCUGUGGUAACACCCCAUGAGGUUAUAUGAAUAGAGGCAUAUAAUCAAAGCAUAAGCGAUUAUGCGGUAUGAGAGGGGCCUACUGACCAUUAGCUAGUUGGUGAGGUAAGGGCUCACCAAGGCGAAGAUGGUUAGGGGUUUUGAGAGAGAGACCCCCCACAUUGGAACUGAGAGACGGUCCAGACUCCUACGGGAGGCAGCAGUAGGGAAUAUUGGGCAAUGGGCGAAAGCCUGACCCAGCCAUGCCGCGUGAAGGAAGACGGCCUUAUGGGUUGUAAACUUCUUUACUACGCGAAUAGAGGUUAGUACGAGAUACUAAUAGGAAGGUAGUGUAGUAAAAAGCACCGGCUAACUCCGUG